UACAGAGGGGGCAAGCGUUAUUCGGAAUUAUUGGGCGUAAAGGGCGCGUAGGCGGCCUGGCAAGUGGAAGGUGAAAUCCCUCGGCUUAACCGAGGAACUGCCCUCCAAACUGCUUGGCUUGAGACCGGGAGAGGUGAGUGGAAUUCCCAGUGUAGCGGUGAAAUGCGUAGAUAUUGGGAGGAACACCAGUGGCGAAGGCGGCUCACUGGACCGGUACUGACGCUGAGGCGCGAAAGCGUGGGAGCAAACGGG
rnacentral:rRNA from 1 species